rnacentral:sRNA from 1 species
CCCUAGCCCAGAUAAAAGUGGAAAUCCUUUUUGAAAGCGAUUUUUCAUCGCUUUUUAAAAGAUUGCAACGUAUAGCUGGAUUAGCU